GUCUAUGGCCAUACCUCCCAGAACAUGCCGAUCUUGUGAAGCUAAGCAGGGUCGGGCCUGGCUGGUAGUUGGGAUGGGAAACCACCUGGAAUUACUGGGUACUAUAGGCU
rnacentral:rRNA from 1 species